GUAGAAUGCAUAUGCUUCAUAGCCAGGGAAAGUCCUACAAACCCAUCAAAACAACCCUCCAAAUGGCCUCAAUUCAAUGUUGCAAACCAGCUGAGCAAUCAUGCAACCAUGGCCAGCAAAAUCACUCACUGUCUGAGAUGGUUAGCUCCGUCUUCAAGAAAGAGCAAACCCACCAGGGACACACAACGAGCCACUGCCAAAUCCAAUGCUAUAGCCACACCACAGCCACAGGCCAGAAAACCGAAACUCACUGCUCUUGCCAAACCGUUUCCCAUGGAAUGCCCAAGACCCAGACCGCGUGUGUCAGCCAAACUACUGGUCAUGAAGCCCGUGGACAGGGCCUCGCCCUUGCAACCACUAACAGAACAAAAUGCCAUAGAAAGAGCAGGAGUGGUGAACACAAGAAGAGGGGUCUGCUUCAGAAGAUCAAGGAUGGCAUUUCCGGCCACAGUGACAGUGACAGCAGCAGCAGCAGCAGCGAGAGCAACAGUGAUGAUGACAAGUGCGGAAAGAACAAGACUUAAGAGAUGCAUUGGCUACGGGGGCAGGCAGCAGGAUCAAAUCAGAAGAACAAGGGUUGCCUAUAUCUAUCUAUGUAGGACAUAAAUAAUGGAAAAUAAGAAGAUACCUGCAUGUAUGCCAAUGUGAGGUGCGUGUGGGCUAUUUAAUUUCUAGUGAAGAAUGUAGUAGCUCCAUGAUCAUGGUGUGCCUUGUUAUUA
rnacentral:misc_RNA from 1 species